rnacentral:rRNA from 1 species
UACGAGGGGGGCGAGCGUUGUUCGGAAUUAUUGGGCGUAAAGGGUGCGUAGGCGGGUCUUUAAGUCAGGGGUGAAAUCCUGGAGCUCAACUCCAGAACUGCCUUUGAUACUGAAGAUCUUGAGUUCGGGAGAGGUGAGUGGAACUGCGAGUGUAGAGGUGAAAUUCGUAGAUAUUCGCAAGAACACCAGUGGCGAAGGCGGCUCACUGGCCCGAUACUGACGCUGAGGCACGAAAGCGUGGGGAGCAAACAGG